rnacentral:snoRNA from 2 species
UAAAAUGAUGAUUCUUUCAAUUACCUUUUGCGGUUUCCACCAGAAAGCAUUCUGCUUAAAGAUGGCCUUAGGAGUCUGA